rnacentral:lncRNA from 1 species
AGUGACGUGAAGAUUUAUGUGGAUACCCCACAGAUGCAGACAGCAGAGGUGACACCACCACUCUGGGAAUAUGACAUCGUGCGUUCUGAAAAUCACUGGUUCAAAGAGAAGACUUGCUGGCAGAGCCAGCUCACGAAUGACCUGGACCCUCAGGAAGAAAUGGAAUCAGCUGUUACAAUUAGCCCUGAGGAAAGAUUGAUGAUGGAGG